UCGAACGUGAAGCAUUGAUUGAAUACUUCGGUAGGAUUUUGGUGUGAAAGUGGCGAACGGGUGAGUAACACGUAGGUGACCUGCCUCGAAGUGGGGGACAACCAUUGGAAACGAUGGCUAAUACCGCAUGGUUCUAUCGGUCUGGGAAGGCCGAUAGAUAAAGCCUAAUGUGCUUCGAGAGGGGCCUGCGACCGAUUAGCUAGUUGGUGGGGUAAAGGCCUACCAAGGCAGUGAUCGGUAGCUGGUCUGAGAGGACGAUCAGCCACAUGGGAACUGAGACACGGUCCCAACUCCUACGGGGGGCAGCAGUGAGGAAUAUUGCACAAUGGGGGCAACCCUGAUGCAGCAACGCCGCGUGGAGGAUGAAGGUUUUUGGAUUGUAAACUCCUUUUCUGAGGGAAGAGCAAGGACGGUACCUCAGGAAUAAGUCACGGCUAACUACGUGCCAGCAGCCGCGGUAAUACGUAGGUGGCGAGCGUUAUCCGGAUUUACUGGGCGUAAAGGGCACGCAGGCGGUCUGACAAGUUCGGUGUGAAAUCUCCUGGCUUAACUGGGAGCGGUCGCCGAAAACUGUUAGACUUGAGUCAGUGAGAGGGGUGCGGAAUUCCCGGUGUAGUGGUGGAAUGCUUAGAUAUCGGGAGGAACACCAGUGGCGAAAGCGGCACCCUGGCACUGUACUGACGCUGAGGUGCGAAAGCGUGGGUAUCGAACGGGAUUAGAUACCCCGGUAGUCCACGCUGUAAACGAUGAAUACUACGUGUANGUGGUGUUAAAGCUAUCUGUGCCAAGCAAACGCGAUAGUAUUCCGCCUGGGGAGUACGCCGCAAGCUAAACUCAAGGAAUUGACGUGGACCGUAAAGCAGCGAGCGUGUGGUUU
rnacentral:rRNA from 1 species